UACAGAGGUCUCAAGCGUUGUUCGGAUUCAUUGGGCGUAAAGGGUGCGUAGGCGGCGCGGUAAGUCGGGUGUGAAAUCUCGGGGCUUAACUCCGAAACUGCAUUCGAUACUGCCGUGCUAGAGGACUGGAGAGGAGACUGGAAUUUACGGUGUAGCGGUGAAAUGCGCAGAUAUCAGGAAGAACACCCGUGGCGAAAGCGGCUCUCUGGAACGGUACUGACGCUGAGACGCGAAAGCGUGGGGAGCGAACAGG
rnacentral:rRNA from 1 species